rnacentral:rRNA from 1 species
AUUGAACGCUGGCGGCAGGCUUAACACAUGCAAGUCGAACGAGUGGCGCAACGGUGAGUAAUGAUUGGGAAUCUCGCUUAUGGAGGGGGAUGACUACGUGAAACUGUAGCUGAUACCGCGUACCGUAGGAUGAGCCCAAGUUGGAUUAGGUAGUUGGUGAGGUAAAGGCUCACCAAGCCGACGAUCUCUACCUGGUCUGCGAGGAUGACCAGCCACACGGAGACUGAGACACGGCCCAGAGUGCAACGGGGGGCAGCAGUGGGGAAGAUUGCGCAAUGGGGGCAAACUGAGGCAGCCAUGCGGAGCGAAGGAAGAAGGCCGUCGGGGUGUCAAGUCCUUUCGGGAGCGAGACGUUAUCUACAGAAGAAGCGCCGGCUAACUCCGUGCCAGCAGCCGCGGUAAUUC